rnacentral:rRNA from 1 species
GACGAACGCUGGCGGCGUGCUUAACACAUGCAAGUCGAACGGAAAGGCCUGCUUUCCCUUGUGGAUUGCGGGUACUCGAGUGGCGAACGGGUGAGUAACACGUGAGUGAUCUGCCCCCAACUUGGGUAUAAGCCUGGGAAACUGGGUCUAAUUCCCGAUAGGACUGCAGGGUGGUGCCUGUGGUGGAAAACGAUUUUCUAGUGGUUGGGGAUGAGCUCGCGGCCUAUCAGCUUGUUGGUGGGGUAAUGGCCUACCAAGGCGGCGACGGGUAGCCGGCCUGAGAGGGUGGACGGCCACAUUGGGACUGAGAUACGGCCCAGACUCCUACGGGAGGCAGCAGUGGGGAAUAUUGCACAAUGGGCGGAAGCCUGAUGCAGCGACGCCGCGUGGGGGAUGACGGCCUUCGGGUUGUAAACUCCUUUCGACCGCGAGGAAGCCACCUGGUUGGAAGGGUGGUGACGGUAGUGGUAGAAGAAGCACCGGCUAACUACAUG